AAGAGAGAGAUGAUGAACGUCGCGGCGGCGAACGGAAUAGAUCUGUAUUCGAGAAAACGAGUCGAAUCGCGCACGGUACAGAGUACCGGUAUUCAUAGAUGGAAUCGGAGCCCGCGCGUCGAGGAUGCGAUCCCGAAUAUCCAUGGAUAUCCGCUCCUGUCUGCGAACGGAGUACCCUCGAGAUUGGAGGCGCCGGCGACGGCGGCGACGGUAGCGGCGGACUUUCAGACGCGAGUGCCAUCGUCCGCGUUUCCCGCGCGACCGCUUCGAGAGCCGCGCGCCGCGACGGCCACCAGAACGCGUCGCCCCGUGUCGUCGUCGUCGUCGUCGUCGUCGUCACCAACCGGUGUCGCCGGCUUAGCUCAGAAACGUUCAUCGACGCGGCGUACGGGCGUCGGCCUAACCUCGCCCCGCGCCGACGCUUCUCGCAUAUGUCAGUGUGACGACGAGCUGCCAGAUCACCGACAACGAAGUAUGACCGUCUGGGAGAGGCUGCGUAAUCCGUGCGGCUGGCGCGCGGGCGCUAAGCAGAUCUCAGUCGAUGCGAUGCUACCGUUGCUCGUGGUGCCGAUCCUGGCGGUGAUCGCCGCCCAGACCGUCCUCUGUACGGUCGUCGUAUUCCUGGUCACGCCGGUCCUCGUAUACUACCUACACCACAACUUUCUCAGGUUUCUGCUGCGUACCAAGUUUUUCCUCAUGUGGACGAUCACCAGUGUGCUGAUGAUGAUGCUGGUGUUCGAGAUGAGCGUCGUGCCGCUAUUGGAGAUCCUGCCUGAGGAGAAUUUCUUGUUUAUGAUGUGCGUAGUCGGCGGCAUGUGCUGUGGCUACAGAGCCAAGGUGAAUGCGGAUGAUGCGGUACAGGAUAGCAUCAUCGGCUUGCAGAGUCUGGAACUGGGUGAGGGCAGCGGUGAGCUCUGCGCUACCUGCAGGAGAAGAGCACCACCCAGGGCUCAUCACUGCCGCUUGUGUCAGACUUGUAUUCUUAACAGGGAAUAUCAUUGUAAAUGGCUGGAUUGUUGCAUAGGUUCUAGCAAUCUAAGAUGGUAUUUGGGUUGCUUAUUCUUUUCCGCAAUCGCUUUUAUCUAUGGUUCCAACUUGACUAUGACUAGCGUUUGCCAUCCUUUCAUACUCAUCGGAACUGUACUCUUACCAGAUAACUGUAGCGAUGUGUAUCAUCAACUGGAGUACGUAUUUAUAUACACACUGAAAAUUAUUGAAACAUGCUGAACAUGCGGCUCUUGAAAUUAUUCCAUAACGAGAUGAAAAAUCGGUAUAUCACAUGCAUAAGCAGGAAGUGCAAAGGGUGUCACUGAUACCAAGACUUUAUAAAAUAAACUGGAAAGAUACAGGGAAUCUAUAAAGUUUAAUAAUCGCAAGAUAAUGAUAAUUGUCAGGUCUACGAGAUGCAGAGGAUGUCAUAAAUAAUAUUCCUCGCUCUCUGCUUCGUCUCUGCUUUGUACAGUCUUCUCGUGGGUCUAGUGCUCUUUUGUUAUCUCGUAUACCACCUAUGG
rnacentral:misc_RNA from 1 species